rnacentral:rRNA from 1 species
UACGAAGGGGGCUAGCGUUGCUCGGAAUCACUGGGCGUAAAGGGUGCGUAGGCGGGUCUUUAAGUCAGGGGUGAAAUCCUGGAGCUCAACUCCAGAACUGCCUUUGAUACUGAAGAUCUUGAGUCCGGGAGAGGUGAGUGGAACUGCGAGUGUAGAGGUGAAAUUCGUAGAUAUUCGCAAGAGCACCAGUGGCGAAGGCGGCUCACUGGCCCGGUACUGACGCUGAGGCACGAAAGCGUGGGGAGCAAACAGG